rnacentral:lncRNA from 1 species
UGACUCCAGCAUAUUCUUACCAUGAAUUUGCCUAACAUACACGGGAAUAAAAGACAAGAAGGUGGAGAAGUUGGGGGUACUCUAGAGCCAGACCUGAUCCUGUGCAGGCUGAUUUGGGGGGAUUGCAGAGGCAAAGCUAGACUAGGUCUUGGAAGCUGGUGUAAGGCGGUGCGCGGAAGGCAGGACGCUGAUGGGAGAGACUGGUCGAAGAAAAGCCGAAAUGGAUUCUCCGUGCCUUGGAUGGAGAAAGAGGGGGGAAGUGCGAGCUCCUUCAACUCGUUCUGUCCGGUGAGGAGUGAUCCAGCUUGGGCUGACGAGAGGCUCCGGAGCCUUCACGUUCAGUGCUUUUUACCUGCCAAUCAAACUGCUACAAGACAACACCCUGAUCUGGCAUGGUCGCGCGCAUCGAACCUAGAAAUUGUACUCUCCUCAAUCCGCUUAAGAGAAUCUGGCUGAUGGCUUUGGUCUGAGAGUUCAGACAUCUCUUGUGCAGCUAAGAAAGACCUCAUUUUCCAUUUGCUGGAUCCUCCUGGUUUGUCAUCCCUGAAUCCUGUAAGAAGGUCAUCAGGAGGUCCCCUGCGCUAGAAGGACCAUGUGAGUUCAUCCCAGAUGAUGGGUGGCACCAUGGUUUUAGCAGCUCACACAGUGGAGAACCACAUUCGCUCUGGAAGAGCUUGGCAACAUGUAUUUGGUAACAGAACAAGGUCAGCUUGAGCUCUAUCCUUCUG